UUUAUUAUCUUAUCAACUUCCCCUUUAUCUUUGUGGCGCUCAGCUGCCAGCUGACAGGAGGGUGUCAACCACUGCAGCACCACUUCCAUGUUUCUGUGCGUCUCUUCCUCUGUGAUGGACAACAGAUGGCACAGCUGCAUUCUGGUAUAUGGAGUCUACUCUACCGCCUGGAGACGAUAAUGUUCAAACAAAUAUAAAGGAGGAAGGAAGAGCAGAGUCAGAGGCAUCAUCCUCCCCUCCUGCACGCCCAGCCGGUGGUGGGUGCUGAUGCUGUAACCACUGUGUGGAGCUGACAAGCCCUGGUUGAUGCAGUGAAGUGUUCCAGAGGGAUAAACACAAGCGAAGGUAGGAAUGAAAAAAUGAGGAGUGAAAAAAUGUAGGGAGAGGAAAAAAAGAAAGAACAACAGCUGAAAAAUAAGGACACGGCAGAGAAACACCAUAUGGGCGAGUCGGAGAGGGGGGAGACGGAUGGACAAUUUAUGGAUAAGGAAACA
rnacentral:lncRNA from 15 species